rnacentral:rRNA from 1 species
UACGUAGGGACCAAGCGUUGUUCGGAUUUACUGGGCGUAAAGGGCGCGUAGGCGGCAAUUCAAGUCAGCUGUGAAAUCUCCGAGCUUAACUCGGAACGGUCAGCUGAUACUGUUUUGCUAGAGUGCAGAAAGGGCAACCGGAAUUCUUGGUGUAGCGGUGAAAUGCGUAGAUACCAAGAGGAACACCUGAGGCGAAGGCGGGUUGCUAGGCUGACACUGACGCUGAGGCGCGAAAGCUAGGGUAGCAAACGGG